rnacentral:lncRNA from 1 species
GUACGGGUUAGGUUUAGGGUUAGUGUACGGGUUAGCAGUAGGGUUAGGGUUAGUGUUAGGUGAUGGGGUACGGUGAGGGCUGCGUACGGGUUAGGGUACGGGUUAGGGUACGGGAUAGGGUUAGGGUACGGGUAGGGUUAGGGUUAGGGUUAGGUUACGGGUUAGGGUUUGGGUUAGGGUUAAGUUUAGGUUUAGGGUACGGGUUAGGUUUAGGGUACUGUUUAGGGUUAGUUACAGGGUACGGAUUAGGGUUAGUGUAAGGGUUAGGGUUAGGGUACGACUUAGGGUAAGGGUGAGGGUACGGGUUAGGUUUAGGGUUAGGGUUAGGUUUAGGCUACUGGUUAGGGUUAGGGUUUGGGUUAGGGUUAGGGUUAGGGUUAGGGUAUGGGUGAGGUUUAGGGUUUGGUUAGGAUUAGGGUAUGCGUUAGGUUUACGGUUAGGUUACGGGUUAGGUAUAGGGUUAGGGUACGGGUUAGGUUUAGGGUUAGGGUACGGGUUAGGGUUAGGGUACUGGUUAGGAUUAGGUUUAAGGGUAGGGUACGGAAUAGGGUUAGGAUUAGGGUUAGGGUUAGCUUAUGGGUACUGGUUAGGGAUAGGGUUAGGUUAGAGGUUAGUGUUAGGUUUUGGGUACGGGUGAGGGUUAAGGUUACGGUUAGGGUUAGGUGUAGGUUUAGCGUUAGAGUACGGGUUAGGGUUACGGUCAGGGUACAGGUUAGGGUACGGGUUAGCGUUAAUGUAAGGGUUAGGGUUAGGGUCCGGGUUAGCAAUAGGGAUAGGGUUAGGGUUAGGUUUAGUGUAUGGGUUAGGUUUAGGGUACGGGUUAGCAUUAGGGUUAGGUUAAGGGUACGGGUUAGGGUUAGGGUUAGGGUACGGGAAUGGGUUAGGGUUAAGGUUAGGGUUAGGGUACAGUUUAGGGUUAGGUUUAGGGUACAUGUUAGAUAUAGAGUAAGGGUUAGGCUUAGUGUACGGGUUACGGUUAGGGUACGGGUUCUGUUUAGAGUUAGGUUACAGGUUAGGGUUAGGGUUAGGGUACAGGUUAUGGUACUGGUUAAGGACAGGGUUAGGGUUAGGUUACGGAUUAGGUUUACGUUUAGGGUAUGGGUUACAGUACAGGUUAGCAUUAGGGUUAGGGUACUGGUUAGGGUUCGGGUUAGGUUUAGGGUAUGGAUUAGGGUUAGGAUUAGGGUUAGGGUUAGGUUUAGGGUACUGUUAAGGGUUAGGGUAACGGUUAGGGUUACGAUAGAGGUUACUGUUAGGUUUAGGUUUAGGGUUAGUGUUAGGAUACAUGUUAGGGUUAGGGUUAGGGUACAGGUUAGGUUUAGGGUUAGGGUUAGGGUUAGGGUUCGGGUUAGGGUUAGGUUAGACGUUAUUGUUAGGAUUAGGGUUAGGCUUAGGGUUAGGGUUAG